UGGGGAAUAUUGCACAAUGGGGGAAACCCUGAUGCAGCCAUGCCGCGUGUGUGAAGAAGGCCCUAGGGUUGUAAAGCACUUUCAGUAGGGAGGAAAGGGUGUUGAUUAAUACUCAACAUCUGUGACGUUACCUGCAGAAGAAGCACCGGCUAACUUCGUGCCAGCAGCCGCGGUAAUACGAGGGGUGCAAGCGUUAAUCGGAAUUACUGGGCGUAAAGCGUGCGUAGGCGGUUUGUUAAGCAAGAUGUGAAAGCCCAGGGCUCAACCUUGGAACUGCAUUUUGAACUGGCAAACUAGAGUACUGUAGAGGGUGGUGGAAUUUCCAGUGUAGCGGUGAAAUGCGUAGAGAUUGGAAGGAACAUCAGUGGCGAAGGCGGCCACCUGGACAGAUACUGACGCUGAGGCACGAAAGCGUGGGGAGCAAACAGGAUUAGAUACCCUGGUAGUCCACGCCGUAAACGAUGUCAACUAGCCGUCUGUUGCCUUGAGCAGUGGGUGGCGUAGCUAACGCGCUAAGUUGACCGCCUGGGGAGUACGGCCGCAAGGUUAAAACUCAAAUGAAUUGACGGGGGCCCGCACAAGCGGUGGAGCAUGUGGUUUAAUUCGAUGCAACGCGAAGAACCUUACCAUCCCUUGACAUCCUGCGAAUUUUCUAGAGAUAGAAUUGUGCCUUCGGGAACGCAGUGACAGGUGCUGCAUGGCU
rnacentral:rRNA from 1 species